GACGGCCUGUUUUUAUAUUUACCUCAGGAGGCGGCUUGGCUGGAUCCGAGGGAGGAGCAACGGCGGCAACAGCGGCGGCGUCCUGGGUCCUGACAGGAGCUGAAGCAGCGUCCACUCAGGUGGACGCCAGGCCUUUCCACACGACGCUUGACGGUGAAAAUUUCCAGUAUUGGAAAAGAAACUGAGAAGAGUUCGGGUGAAUACAGUGAAAAUCUGUCACUGCUACAUAGUAAUAACAAAGAAUGGGGGAAAUUCAAUUGAUCAUAGAAAGUAAACACCAUUAUUUCUUUUAAAUCAAUGCAAAUUAAUCUUGUACCAGCUUGGCAGUAUUUGUCCAGGACAUUAGGUACUUUUUGUCUAGGGGAAACCCAGCUGAACUAUAUUUUCACUUCACAUGACCUUUUACGAAAGGGGGAAUUCCACUCCCUGAAUUAUUUCCUGUGUGUCAUGCCAUUCUGGCAGACAGCCAGAUUUGGGUUUUUUUCUUUUACAAUGCUGGAGAUUUGUUUGAAAUGACAUACAGAAAGAUUGUCUGACUACUAAAAGUUUCUUUUUAAUAAAAUUCUGGACUCUCCCCAGUUUUCCCUUAUCCCUUUGGUUUCACAAUCAUUUUUCUUCCUUCAGUAUCUGACUUCAUGGGGUUUUAUAUGCAACAGUGAAAAGUAUAUUUAAGAUCACUCAUGCUAGUUGUGAAUUAUUGUUAUUAUUCCAUUUCAUACUUCCCCUUUAUAGGGCCCAAGAGUGGGUUACAGUAAUUUAAAAAUGCAAUAUUUUAAUUGCUGUUGUUGUUGUUAUUUACUUUUUUUACUGUCCUUUAAAUUUUAAUGCACCUGUAGGACAAGGAUGUGGUUUGAGGCAAAUCACCCAUUUCUCAGCCCACAUUGCCAGGAAGCCUAGGAGAGGGAAAAGAGAGUUUUGCUGCCAUGUAGUGAACUUUAAUCCUUCUGGCACAGUAUCAGUCCUUAUUGCCCCCCCCCCAACCCAUAAGGGAAAUUUUGAUCAACAAUAAACCUUUUAAUAGGAUCACUGUAAAAUAUCAAAAUGAGAAAUCCAGUAAAAAAGCAAUCUUGUGAGUAGAUAUUUUAGACAAAAUUUCUUUCUGCAUGUAAGAUUUGGGGGAAAUUCCAUGACAGAGCUCAAUACAGGUAAAUGAUAAUAAUUGUGUAUUUUUAAAAUCAUUAAAUAAGGGACAUUUUUAAAAGUCAAUGAUUCUGUAUAGAUAAUUAAAAUCACAAUGUAAUUUUCUGUAUAAAUAUGUGACUAUUAAUCUGACACUGAUACUUGAGGCCAAAUCCCAUAUCUCUUUAAAAUACAGACAGUAGGUUUGCCCAACUCAGAUGUACCUAAGACAUGACUUAAACACUCUUUCAUAGAUAAUGAUGUAGCAGAUUUCAAGUGUCUAGCCAAUACACUAUUUGUAGAGUCAAAGGUUUAGAAUAAGUGACCUUUCAAAAAUCUGAUGAGCUUCUUCAGUAUUGCCUAAUAACGAUUUCUGUAAAUAAUUUACUUCGUAGUACACUAUUGUAACUGUACCUAAGCCUAAGUACAGCUAACCAACCUGGUACCUAGUGCAGCUCUUUCAAGAGUGGUGUAACAUGGUCACAGUUAGGUGCCUCAGUCAGUAGAAUAGCUGUUGCAUUCUGCACCAGCUGCAGCUUCUAGGAUAGCCCCACAGGGUAAUCUAGUCCGGAGGUGACCAGUGCAUUUCUGUCCAGGGAUGAUUAUAGUUGUGUAUCAAACCAGCCAAGUAUGGUAGAAAAUGCUCCUUGCCACUGAGGCCACCUUAACGUCCAGUGGCAAUGAUGGGUCCAGGAGCACCCCACACUAUGUACUUGCUCCUUUAGAGAGAAUUGCAGCCCCAUUUCUGAAGGAAUUACCUAAUUCCUGGAAAGAGAACCACAACCCACAGGACCUCCAUCUUUUGGGGAUUUAGUCUUCCAUUGCAUCCAGGCUCCGGUCCAGAACUUGUACAACCUCACCUCACUCAGAUGGAAGAGAGAAAUAGAGCUGAGUGUCAUCAGUAUAUCAAUGGCACCGUGUUCUAAUUCCCAUAAUGGUCCCUUCUAGCAGUUUCAUAUAGAUGUUAAACACCAUUGGGGACAAAAUGACAUUUUGUGAUACCCUAUAGUGUAACUGCCAGGGGCCUGACAUAGACUUACCCAACGCCACUCUGGAACUGACCCAGUGGGUAGGAGAGGAACAAAUGUAUAACAGUGCAUUCCUCCAGCUACCAACUCAUGGAGUCAGUCCAGUAUUAGCCCAUGGUCAAUGGUAUCAAAAGCUGCUAAGGGAGCAAGCAAGAGCAACAGGGUCACACAUGGUGCUGUACAGAAAAAGAGGAAACAAAGGAAAAGGAAAUGGAACUUUUAACGUCAUUGCUGUGAGUUCCAGUUAAAUGACUAGCAAAAAACAGUACACUCUACAUUUCUUGCUAGCAAGCAACUUUGUCAUUUUAUUUAUUUGAAAUAUUUAUAAACUCAACAUAUAGCAGUGUACAACAACAAGAAAAUAUAAGGCAAAACAAACUAUUUCCAAGGAGGAAUUUGAUACUAUCUGCACACUCAUUCAUCCUUUUGAGAAAGCUUGCAGAAAUAGAACUUUUAGCAUCCAGUGGAAGAUCUACUGUGUUGGAGAUUGUCUACUUUCAAAAUGCUCUGUGCUUCCCAAGGUAGGUGCCACUGAACUGAAGGAGCAACCACCAUGGAUUGAACAUCAGGCACGGCACCACAAGGAAGACCUCCUUAGACGACCACAGUAAAUAGGCAGGUAUAGAAGGGGUAAAGCAAUCUCUCACAUCCUGGUCCCAAGUUAUGUAGGGCUUUAUACACUAGCAGUAAGACCUUACAUUUGGCUCAGUAACAUAGUGGCAGUUGGUGAAGUUUAGUGCUGAUGUUAUGUGUUGACAGACAGCAACCCUGGCUGCAGGGGCAGCCCAAGACCUCACUCAUUUCACAAAAUCACUAAGAAGGUGCCUACAACAUUUGCCCCCAUUUCUCUCUUUCUAGGAAAGUUAGACACUUCUUUUAAAAAAAUGAAAGCUCAGAGUCCGGGGCACCUGCCCUGGGUCACUAAUGUAAGUCUUCAUGGGUGCCAGGAUGGCAACCCCUGCCUUAAAAUGAUGUUUUCAUUCUCUUUGAUUAGUCAUUGAUUACUCCAGAUUUCUUGUAAAGACUUACUGCUUUUUGCCCAGACAACCUGACUCGUAAGAUUUGGCCCUGUUGUUACUGAUUUCAUCUUCUUUACUGAUCUUUAUGGUGUAUCUUUUUUAAAAUGUUGCAAUUUUUAGUUUACCAUGUAGAGUUUUUUUAAUAUUAAGCAGUUUGGAAAUGCUUUUAAAUAAAUAAAUAAUCUAUAUUUACUCUC